rnacentral:rRNA from 1 species
GAUGAACGCUGACAGGAUGCUUAACACAUGCAAGUCUACUUGAACUUCGGUUUGGGUGGCGGACGGGUGAGUAACGCGUAAAGAACUUGCCUCACUGUUAGGGACAACAUUUGGAAACGAAUGCUAAUACCUAAUAUUAUGAUUUUAGGGCAUCCUAAGAUUAUGAAAGCUACAUGCACUGUGAGAGAGCUUUGCGUCCCAUUAGCUAGUUGGAGAGGUAACGGCUCACCAAGGCGAUGAUGGGUAGCCGGCCUGAGAGGGUGAACGGCCACAAGGGGACUGAGACACGGCCCUUACUCCUACGGGAGGCAGCAGUGGGGAAUAUUGGACAAUGGACCAAGAGUCUGAUCCAGCAAUUCUGUGUGCACGAUGAAGUUUUUCGGAAUGUAAAGUGCUUUCAGUUGGGAAGAAAAAAAUGACGGUACCAACAGAAGAAGUGACGGCUAAAUA